CAGGUUCAAAGAACAUGCUCUAAAGAACCCAACUCCCUCAUAUAUAUUCUUCCCUGUCCUAAGCUAACAGCCACCAUCCAUUGUUUCUUCAUUUCCAUUCCCAAGAAAACUUCACUGAAAUCAACUUUCUCAUCAACAAAAUUACGUAUACUUUUCAGUUCUCUCAAGAUCUAUGAGAAAAAUAAUUCUGAGCGAUAUGGCGAACUUGGUCCAGAAUAAGUCAUCCGGCAAGGCAGCACCGGAGAAAUCUAAUUUUGCUCAGACAUGCAAUCUUCUGAGCCAGUAUUUGAAGGAAAGAGGAAUCUUUAGAGAUCUUAGCCUUGGAAUUAAUGGAAAGCUUGAAGUUAAAGGUCCUGAAGCAUCUAGGCCACCAA
rnacentral:misc_RNA from 1 species